rnacentral:lncRNA from 1 species
CAUUUUGGGGGGUUCGUCGGAUCUGGUAAUGGAGAUAAGGUUUGAGAAAGGGAAUCCUUAAGGGAUUCGAAGGGGAGUGAAUUGAAAUGCAGAAGUUAUAUAACGGAGACAAGAGAGCAUAAAAUGCAGCAAAGUGGCGUUCAACAUCGGAAUCCACCAGCAAAGAGGAUGAUUGUGACAAAAGCUAGUUUACUCUGCCGUCCGAAUUUAUUCUCUGGAACUGGUAACAUCGUAGGAAUUGCCAUUUGUCGAAGAAUGAUCCUCUUUUGUCAUGCGUGAAUGAAUUUUCCAGAAUCUGCAGGCGGUUGAUGUGAAACUAAUUUUGAAGUUGAUGAAAGAUUCAGACUUGGUUUCUCUAUACAGAAACGUAGCCUUGGAGAUGAACAUCAACAGUUUAAUAUUCCUCAUCAAUAGACUGUACAAGUUUAGUUUUGGCUACGAAAUGAGAUCAUUUGUUGUAAGUACAUCAGACUAGUUACUCGGGAAAGAUUCAACCUCUGCAUCCUAAUUUACUGACAAAUCUCAUCACUGCUUCAGAUACACUGUCUUGGUACGUAAUCUGUAACAUCUUGGGGAUGAGCCUGCUGAACAGAGGAACAACAAGUUCAGUUGCAUACUUCAUGAACACCAUGUUUCUGCAUGAACUCUUUUCUGCAAGCUGCACCCUUAAUUUAGAUAGAGUUGCAGAAAUCAGUAAGCUUGGUUAAUGGUCUCACCGUCUGGCUGCUCUCUUAUGAGAUGUUUUGACUUUUGAUCGGUCUUAUACCACCCGUUGGAUUGUUCUUUACUUACAGACUUCCAUUCAAACAUUUCCAUUUCCAGAAUCUCAACCUAAAGGGAUUAUUUUGGUGUUUGGAUAUUGACCUUUAUUUAUCUAUUCUAUUUUUUCCAAUAACUUUUAAAAUUCGG